CAUACAGAUGGCGGUGCAGCUAUUUCCAUGUUCAUAGAGAUGGCGGUGUAUAUAUUUCCAGUUUUAUAGAGAUAGCAGUGUAGUUAUUUCCAUGUUUAUAGAGAUAGCGGUGUAGAGUUUUCCAUGUAUAUACAGAAAGCUAUGUAGAUAUUUCCAUGUUCAUACAGAUAGCGAUGUAGAUAUUUCCAUGUUCAUAGAGAUGGCGGUGUAGAUAUUUCCAUGUUCAUAGAGAUGGCGGUGUAGAUAUUUGCAAUUCAUAUGGUUGGCGGUGUAGAUAUUUCCACGUUCAUGCAGAUGGUGGUGUAGAUAUUUCCAUGUUUAUAGAGAUGGCAGUGUAGAUAUUUCCAUGUUUUUACAGAGGGCAGCUUGGAUAUUUCCAUGUUUCCACAGAUAGCGGAGUAGAUAUUUCCAUGUUGAUACAUAUAGCGAUGUAGAUAUUUCGAAGUUUAUAGAGAUAGCGGAGUAGAUAUUUCCAUGUUUAUAGAGAUAUCGUUGUAGAUAUUUCCAUGUUUAUACAGAUAGCAUUAUAGACCCUUGGGUCCAGGAAUUCGAGGCUGCAGUGAGCUAUGAUCACGCCACUGCACACCAGCCUGGGCAACAGAGAGAGACUGCAUCUCUAAAAAUCAUAUAUACAUACAUACAUACAUACAUACAUACAUAC
rnacentral:lncRNA from 1 species